UACGUAGGGUGCGAGCGUUAAUCGGAAUUACUGGGCGUAAAGCGUGCGUAGGCGGUUUGUUAAGUCCGUUGUGAAAGCCCUGGGCUCAACCUGGGAAUUGCAGUGGAUACUGGCGAGCUAGAGUGCGGUAGAGGAUGGUGGAAUUCCCGGUGUAGCGGUGAAAUGCGUAGAGAUCGGGAGGAACACCUGUGGCGAAGGCGGCCCCCUGGGCCGGCCCUGACACUGAGACGCGAAGGCGUGGGGAGCGAACGGG
rnacentral:rRNA from 1 species